CGGCGCACGGGUGCGUAACGCGUAUGCAAUCUACCUUUUACAGAGGGAUAGCCCAGAGAAAUUUGGAUUAAUACCUCAUAGUAUGCAGAGUUGGCAUCAGCACUGCAUUAAAGUCACAACGGUAAAAGAUGAGCAUGCGUCCCAUUAGCUAGUUGGUAAGGUAACGGCUUACCAAGGCUACGAUGGGUAGGGGUCCUGAGAGGGAGAUCCCCCACACUGGUACUGAGACACGGACCAGACUCCUACGGGAGGCAGCAGUGAGGAAUAUUGGACAAUGGGCGCAAGCCUGAUCCAGCCAUGCCGCGUGCAGGAUGACGGUCCUAUGGAUUGUAAACUGCUUUUAUACGAGAAGAAACACUGCUUCGUGAAGCAGCUUGACGGUAUCGUAAGAAUAAGGAUCGGCUAACUCCGUGCCAGCAGCCGCGGUAAUACGGAGGAUCCAAGCGUUAUCCGGAAUCAUUGGGUUUAAAGGGUCCGUAGGCGGUUUAAUAAGUCAGUGGUGAAAGCCCAUCGCUCAACGGUGGAACGGCCAUUGAUACUGUUAGACUUGAAUUAUUAGGAAGUAACUAGAAUAUGUAGUGUAGCGGUGAAAUGCUUAGAGAUUACAUGGAAUACCAAUUGCGAAGGCAGGUUACUACUAAUGGAUUGACGCUGAUGGACGAAAGCGUGNGUAGCGAACAGGAUUAGAUACCCUGGUAGUCCACGCCGUAAACGAUGGAUACUAGCUGUUGGAAGCAAUUUCAGUGGCUAAGCGAAAGUGAUAAGUAUCCCACCUGGGGAGUACGUUCGCAAGAAAUGAAACUCAAGGAAUUGACGGGGGCCCGCACAAGCGGUGGAGCAUGUGGUUUUAUUCGAUG
rnacentral:rRNA from 1 species